AUUGAACGCUGGCGGCAGGCCUAACACAUGCAAGUCGAGCGAGCGGCGGACGGGUGCGUAAUGUAUGGGGACUGCCCGAUAGAGGGGCAUAACUACUGGAAACGGUAGCUAAUACCGCAUACUAUCGGAUAACCAAUAUGGGAUUAGCUAGUAGGUGAGGUAAUGGAUCACCUAGGCGACGAUCCCUAGCUGGUCUGAGAGGAUGAUCAGCCACACGUGGACUGAUAAAAGGCCCAGACGCCGACGGAGGCAGGAGUGGGGAAUAUUGCACAAUGGGCGGAAUCCUGAUGCAGCCAUGCCGGGUGUAUGAAGAAGGCCCUAGGGUUGUAAAGUCCUUUCAGUCGUGAGGCGUUACCUAAAGAAGAAGGACCGGCUAACGCCGUGCCAGCAGCCGCGGUAAUUC
rnacentral:rRNA from 1 species